rnacentral:lncRNA from 1 species
ACGCCGAGGUACUGCCUGCCUGCGGCUGCGUCACCGCGUCACGCCGAGAAAUAGAAAAAUAAUCCUUGUCCAGGCACAGUGGCUCAAGCAUGUAAUCCCAGCACUUAGGGAGGCCUCGGUGGGCGGGCGGGCGGAUCACAAUGUCAGGAAAUGGAGACCAUCCUGGCCAGCAUGGUGAAACCCCAUCUCUACUAAAAAUGCAAAAAAAUUAGCUGGGUGUGGUGAUGCGUGCCUGUAGUCCCAGCUACUCUGGAGACUGAGGUAGGAAAAUCGCUUGAACCCAGGAGAUGGAGGUUGCAGUGAGCCGAGAUUCACCCACUGCACUACAGCCUGGCAACAGGGAAAGACUCCGUCUCAAAAAAAAAAAAAAAAAAAAAGGAAAAAUAAUCCUAAAAGUCGUAUGCAACUAGGAAAGCCUCUAAUAGCCUAAACAAUCCUUAGGAAAAAGAACAAAGCUGGAGGCAUCGCACUCCUGAUUUCAAAAUAUAUAGUUACAGAAACCAAAACAGCAUGGCACUGACAUUAGAACAGACAGAUCGGCCAAUGGAACAGGAUAAAGAGCCCAGAAAUGAAACUAAAUAUUGAUGGUCAAUUGAUUUUCAACAAAGAUGCCAAGAAGACACAAUAGGGAAAGACAGUCUCUUUAAUCAGUGGUGCUGGAAACACUGAAUAUCCACAUGCAGAAGAGUGAAAUUGGCGCUUUAACUUAUGCCACAUGGAAAAAUCAACUCAAAUUGGAUAAAAGACUUAAACAUAAGACCUGAAACUGCGAAGCCGCUGGAAGGAAGCUCGUGGGGGAGAUGCUUUGCAGCAUGGAUCUGGGCAGUGAUCGCUUGGAUAGGACAUCAAAAAUACAGGCAACAAAAGCAAAAGUAAAUAAAUGGUACUGCACAAAACUAAAAAGCUUCUGCACAGUAAAGAAAACAAUUGACAAAAGGAAGAAAGAACCCAUGGAUUGGGAGAAACUAUAUUCAAGCUAUGCAUUGGCUAAGGGACUAAUAUUCAAAAUCCAUAAGGAACUGAACUCCACAGGAAAAAAACAAAUAACCCAUUAAAAAUGGGCAAAGGAUCUGAACAGAUAUUUCUCAAAAGAAGACAGAAAAAUGGCCAACAGAUACUUGAAAAAUACUGAACAUCUCUAAUCAUCAGGGAAAUGCAAAUUAAAACUGCAGUGAGAUAUCAUCUCACACCUGUUAGAAUGGCUAUUAUCAAAAAGACAAAAGAUAAAACACUGGCAAGCAGAGAAAGGAACACUUGUGCAUGAUUGGUGGCAUGUAAAUUAAUAUAGCCACUAUAGAAAAGAGUGUGGAGUUUCCUCCAAAAACAAGCUGAACUGACAUGUGAUCCAGCAAUCCCACCUCUGGGCAUUUAUUUGUAAAGAUAACAUAUGGUUUAAUGUGUACGACGCAAAGUGAGAGGUUUAAAAAUUCAUUACGGCUAUUCAACAUAUGUAAAAAGCUGCUCAUAGCAAUUAUAUACAAAGCAGUCAUGCCAAUUAACCUAAGACAGGAUGGAAGAAGUGGCUAAUCAGGACGCCCAACCUGAGUUUCUUAAAGUAAAACUCAAACUCCAGACAAAACUGAGGGAAGUCCUUUAAAAAGCUUCAUCGGCAGCAGAUCACCACCCUGCCCUUCCAUCCAGGGCCUCCCACAGAACACGCACCACAGCUCCAUGGUGCCCUCUUUUGCAGCAGUGACUUCCCGUGUCAGGAAAUAGUGAUUUCAGCACCCCAAAUGACUUGAAAAUUAAAAGGCAUUUACUUACCACAGACUCUACUCAUUGCCAAAAUCAUAUCAUCAUACACUGAAAAUGAGAAGGGAUACGCACCAUUACGACAUGUAACUUUAACCGAAAGCAGCAUUUUCAAUGUUUAAUUAAAUCGAUGCAGGAAAUUGUGAUGUUCAGUUGAAAAAUGAAUCAUUAAAAUGGCAAUAUUUAUCCAUAAAAGACUUAUGUGUGCGAUAAAUCCUUCUAACCUAUUCACUUUUAAAAAAGGAUCAAGAACGUUUUACUCAACAUAAAUCCAACUCUACAUUCAACUGAAUCACUGCCUCAGUGUUUCCAUCAUUUUAACUGCAUUAGUAAUGCGUUGCUUGGCUUCUGAUGAUGGACCGAAAUGACGUUUCAUAUAAACCCAGAGUAAUAUCAUACAUUAUUCUAAAACACUGAAAAAACUCUGAAAGCAACCAAAGAACAAAUAGUUUUUUUCUACAGUGUUACUGCUAAAGACACAAUGUGUGCUAUAGCUGAGGCUAGACAUAGACCUGCCUUCAGAAUACAUCCCAUCCUGUUGGUGAAAGGAAUUUCUUGUUCACAGAACAAAGGAGGUUUUCUUUUACCUUUGCCAGCUAUUUCAAGGAUGGACACAUCUUGGCCUCUGUCAUCUUUCAAGGUUGCCUUGUAUUCACCGUGGUCCUUCUUUGACAACUACAAAGAAAACACAUUCCAUAUUUAUGUAAAGUCAAUACUGCAAUCUUAGAAAACGUAAUAAACUCUAAUACAUUUUCUUUGCAAACCACCGAAAUUCAGGAUGCAAAUUAGAGGAUUGUAGAAUUUACGAGUUAUUUGAAAGUGCCGUUUUUGUUUUGCUUUCUUGUGUUACUCAAUGCCUGAUACCUUUGGGAUGAGGAGCUCACAGAUUCCCCUCUCCAGGUUAGGCAGUGUCUCCGUUUCAUACAGAACAUCAUCCUUGAGCCAUUUGAAAACGGUUUCUUUCUUGGUGUUUGCAACCUGUGAGGUAGAAAGCUUAAGUUUAGUGUGUAAAUCAUUCUGACUCAUGAGAAAAAGAAAGUCUAUUAGAAUCUUAAAUCACAGAGCCCCCCCCUCAAAAAACCUUAGUUUUUACUAUAGACAGUCUCAGACGAAGGCUUAUGGAAAAGCUGUCGCUCCCAAUAACGUCAAACACAUUUCUAAAUUCCAGCUUCUAAGAAAAUUAAGUCCUCACAGUUGCUCACAGAAGGACAAAUGAUUCUCGUCAUUCUAGUCCAUGAAAUUAGACUAGGCAUAAAGAUCUUUUGGUCUAUAUGAAAUGUCAUUAACAAAGACAAGUCUUAAGCAAUAUAUAUGGGGAUUUCUGAAUAAUAGAGAAUAUUCUGAGGGGUCUGUAAAGCUGGUUGGCAGCUGCUCUUUUAACAGCAUCCCAUUUCAGGUACAGGGACACAAAGAAAAUGAAAUCUUAACACAAAAAUGCUCACUAGAGGUGAGGACCUUCCCUAUACUGAAAUUCCUCACAAUUCAAUCGCUGGCUAGAAACUAAGCUUUGCGGAACUCCGAAGAUAAAUGAGCAUUCCAAUUCACAUGCUCCGGCAUUGGUCUGAGGGACGAGGAAGAAUUCUGAUUCAGCAUGGCAGAAUGUUUGAAUCCCAUGAGAUUAUACAAGUCUGACAAUUCGAUGUUCACAUCCCAUGUGAAUUCAAGAAGAGUGAUGUUGAUGACAAAAGAAUGAAAAUGAUUCAACAGUGUCAUCAGCUCUGCUAGAGUAACAGUGCAACACAGCUUAGAAUUUCCACAUCCGCUAUGGGAAAUGGCAUCGUUCUCGACAGCACUGGGACUGAAUCUCUGUGAAGCAGGGGUUUCGUCUGUUUCACUAACACUUGUCCCCAAGUGCAUGGCUGCCUGCCUGGCACACAGAAGUUGUCCCAUCAAUGUUUGUGGAAUACAUAGAUGGAAGGUAUCCCACUGAGCUGCAAAGUAGUGUCUUCCUUCUAAAUCAGAACCACUCCUUUAUAACAAAUCUUAGAAUGGACUGCGGCUGAGGCUCCACGACUCUAGCAGACGAUUCCCUUUACUUUAACAUUUCAAAAUUUUCUUUGGUGUCUGUUUUCAAUGCCAAUCUAAUUGCUUACUGUCUCUUAAGUCAAUACUGUUUUCUCUUCAUCUCUUCUUCAAAAAAAUUUUACAUUGCUGGUCCUUUCCAAUAAAUGCCUUUCCAAUGACCUUCAAUUACUGUUUUCUGAAAUAAAUAUCUGUAAUUAAUGUAUUUGUCCUAUAAUUGGGGGAGACGGUUCUAAUUCCCCAAAAUAACUCAUUUGUUUCUUCUCUGCACUCCCUCA